CGUGAGGCUGGAUUCGCUAGUAAUCGCGCAUCAGCCAUGGCGCGGUGAAUACGUUCCCGGGCCUUGUACACACCGCCCGUCAAGCCAUGAAAGCCGGGGGUACCUGAAGUGCGUAACCGCAAGGAUCGUCCUAGGGUAAAACUGGUAAUUGGGGCUAAGUCGUAACAAGGUACC
rnacentral:rRNA from 1 species